UACAGAGGUCCCAAGCGUUGUUCGGAUUCAUUGGGCGUAAAGGGUGUGUAGGUGGCGCCGUAAGUCGGGUGUGAAAUUUCGGAGCUUAACUCCGAAACUGCAUUCGAUACUGCGGUGCUUGAGGACUGGAGAGGAGACUGGAAUUCAUGGUGUAGCAGUGAAAUGCGUAGAGAUCAUGAGGAAGACCAGUGGCGAAGGCGGGUCCUG
rnacentral:rRNA from 1 species